AAGCUGGCUCCCCUAGUCGCAGGUUCUAGGCUUAGGUUGGACCCUGCUGCGGACUCGUGUCUCAUCCCCCAGCCGCGCCCCCUGGCUGCUGUAUCCCCGCGGGCCCCUGCCCGGGUGGGUGGCAGGGCACGGGGCUGCUACAGGAGGGUCAGGCCUGGGCCGCGUGGCUUUUGGUCCCUCUGAGUCUCACACCUUCAGGGGGAGCUUUGCAGUGGUGGGGGGCCCUUGGCUGCCCCAGGAGAUUGGGUGGGAGUCUGCUAUAGGUCAAAUCAAAGUGUGUUUUCUGCCCCCAGAGACAGUCUCCAAAAUGUGAAGUAACCACAGUGGGAAGAAUCAACAGUUCUGGUGGAAAGCGAGAAGAGAGAGAGAGAAUGUACAGCAGUGAAUGAAGACAAUGUGUAAGAGAGAAUCUUCAGCCUAACUUUUUCAGGCCUUCUUUCAGCUAACCUCCAUAUGCAUGAUUAAUGUUGUCUCCUGGAGCAAGCUUCUACGUGCAUUGCUGCUACAAGUUCUGCUUUGUAUAGUUAUAUUUCUGCAUCUGAAUUCUGCAUGGGGUGUUCUUUGUUUUGUCUACCACCUUCCUUGUCAUAAAUAAAAUGUUGAAAUAAAAGUAGAAAAUACCUUACAUCAUCACAUUUUAGGGUCUGAUUCUCAACAACGCGAAGCUCCAACAACCCAUGACAUUAUGGUAACUGCAUAUGCUCAGCAUUUCUCUGUAUAAGACAUUAGUUUUCCUGUUUGUCAUGUUUUAUGCUUUUGUAUAAACUAAGAAGAAGACGUCAAAAUUCCACAUGCAAAUAUAUUUUUC